UACGGGGGGGGCAAGCGUUGUUCGGAAUUACUGGGCGUAAAGGGCGCGUAGGCGGCCCGCUAAGUCAGACGUGAAAUCCCUCGGCUCAACCGGGGAACUGCGUCUGAUACUGGCAGGCUUGAGUUUGGGAGAGGGAUGCGGAAUUCCAGGUGUAGCGGUGAAAUGCGUAGAUAUCUGGAGGAACACCGGUGGCGAAGGCGGCAUCCUGGACCAACACUGACACUGAGGAGCGAAAGCCAGGGGAGCAAACGGG
rnacentral:rRNA from 1 species